UAUAUCAGUCAUGCAUAGCAUAUCAAUAAGCGGAGGAAAAGAAACUAACAAGGAUUCCCUUAGUAACGGCGAGUGAAGCGGGAAGAGCUCAAAUUUGAAAUCUUCAAGGUUCCUACCUUGACGAAUUGUAGUUUAUAGAAGUGUUUUCUGUUAGUGGAGUGGCAAAAGUUCUUUGGAAUAGGACAUCAUAGAGGGUGAGAAUCCCGUAUUUGGUCAUUCCUCCUAGCGUUGUGAUACACUUUCAACGAGUCGGAUUGUUUGGGAAUGCAGUCCAAAAUGGGUGGUAAAUUUCAUCUAAAGCUAAAUAUUGGCGAGAGACCGAUAGCGAACAAGUACCGUGAGGGAAAGAUGAAAAGAACUUUGAAAAGAGAGUUAAACAGUACGUGAAAUUGUCAAAAGGGAAGCGUUUGACACCAGUGUUGUUUUUCCGAAAAUCAAUUACGAAUGUUUUGUUUUUGAGAAGUUAUGACUUCAUCGGCUCGCUCUCUUCUUUAUGAAACUUUCUUAAUGCACUUUUCGGUUAACAAGUCAACAUCAAUUUCUUUUGUUGUAAAAGGGUAUGAGGAAGGUGGCUUUCUUUUCGGAGAAAGUGUUUAUAGCCUUGUACCUCUGCAAUCGGAGAGAUUGAGGUCUGCAGCGUAGAUCCUUCGGGGUUAGAUACAUUUGUGCUAAGUUAUAGCUUUUCAUAGACAACUUGUUGACUAUGUUUAGUCUUGUAGCUUACUCGCUUACUGCUAUUUUACCUACGCUUAGGAUGUUGAUCUCUCACAGUCGAGC
rnacentral:rRNA from 1 species